rfam:Brachypodium distachyon strain Bd21 chromosome 1, whole genome shotgun sequence.
CGGAUACUCCUUCAGUCCAAUAAAGGAUGUCUCAACUUUGAUUAAAUUUGAAUACACUAAGUUAUGUCUAGAUACAUCUAAAUUUUAACAAAUUUAAGACAUCUUUUGUUGGACGGAGGGAGUACAAA